rnacentral:rRNA from 1 species
GGUGAACGCUGGCGGCGUGCUUAAGACAUGCAAGUCGAACGCAGUCUUCGGACUGAGUGGCGCACGGGUGAGUAACACGUAACUGACCUACCCCCAAGUCGCGGAUAACUGGCCGAAAGGUCAGCUAAUACGUGAUGUGAUGUCCCCUUUCUGGGGGCCAUUAAAGGUUUACUUCUUGGGGAUGGGGUUGCGUUCCCUCAGCCAGUUGGCGGGGUAAAGGCCCACCAAGGCAACGACGGAUAGCCGGCCUGAGAGGGUGGCCGGCCACAGGGGCACUGAGACACGGGUCACACUCCUACGGGAGGCAGCAGUUAGGAAUCUUCCACAAUGGGCGAAAGCCUGAUGGAGCGACGCCGCGUGAGGGAUGAAGGUUCUCGGAUCGUAAACCUCUGAAUCAGGGACGAAAGACGCGUAAGCAGGAUGACGGUACCUGAGUAAUAGCACCGGCUAACUCCGUGCCAGCCGCCGCGGUAA